CUUGGACGAUGGCCGUUAUCAAAAUUUCAUUUUAGCAUUUGAUGUGGACAGUGAGUUAUUUCACGAGAUAAAGGUGCCAAAGAGUUUUAGACAGGAUAAACCAUUAGAUUAUCACCUGUCUGUUUCAGGUGAUGGAAACUCCAUUGCUGUGUUCACGAUGCCGCGGGGUCGUAAUUGUACUGAGGAUUUUCUUGACAUAUGGGUGAUGACAGAGUAUGGCAUCGAGGAUUCAUGGGCCAAACUGAUAACUCUAAGUCCACCGGAUCCAGAAAGCAGGGUGCCCUACAAGCCCUUAUGUUUUAGGAAGAGGGGUGAAGUAGUGUUGGUAUCGACUGAUGACUAUGGCAAUAUGCAUGAAUUAGUUUCUUUAGACCUUGUGAGCAAACAAUUUAAAAAUCUUGGGAUUCGCGGAUAUGGAUAUUACUAUGCUGAACCUUAUGAGGAGAGCCUCGCCUUACUUGACAAUGUCGAUGCAGUUUCUUACAGAGGAGCAGAUCAGGUAAUGUUAUAUCUAGCAUUGGUCUUCCUUUUUGUUUGGAUUUUCUUCUUGUUAUAUAUUUACGUCCAAGGUUCCAACUGUGUGUGACAUGAUAUGAGCUUUAACCCCAGAACAAAGUUAUAUGUGUGUUAAUUUGUUACUUGAUUUAAUUACGCAUAGCUUGCUGAAGUGUAAUCGUUGACAUCAUUCAUUCGCCCUUCGUGCAGGUAGAAAAAGAUGAGGCAGAUAGAUUUCAAGUCCUUGACGAUGCCGUUGUAAUGAAUGUGCUCAAUCUGCUGCUCAGUCAUCGUUUAUCUUGACUAUAUCACUUGUAUUUUGACGUCGACUAGUAAAAAGACGUCGCAUGUGUUGUGCUAGGAUAGCACCAAACCCGUUGGAACCAACUCAAGCUAACCCACAGGAAAUUUAUCAAAUGAAAAUGCAAGAACAAAAUAUUAAAGAACACCAAGAUUUUAACGAGGUUCCUCAACAGUCAGUGUAACUGGAGUACGUCCUCGGAGCAGUAGGAGCUCACCCAAUAAUCCACUAUCAACCAAAUGGGAGUUUACAAAGUGUUGGCAAUCUCACAACCCAAAUAACCCAAUACACCCAAUAUCUCUCACACACCAAAGAAACAAAUAGAAGAAGAAAUAUAAUGAAUAAGUUAUUCUCUAUACAUAUAGCUCAAAGCUAUUACAACAACACCUAUUUUGGUGGAUGAUUACUAACCAAAUGAAGCAGCAGCUUCUUCUUCCUUUUGGGCUCUCUGCAGAAAAAAACUCUAACUUCUCUCUGCAGCUCUCUCUUCUCUCUUCAGCUCUCUCAACUGAAAAAUGAGAGUUGCAUCUCUUUUCUUCUAUCCGAAACAAACCUCAAUAAUUAUGGUUAAUAAAAAAACCACAAAAGAAAAAAAAACAUCAUCAUGAUGUCUCCUCAUCAUGAUGUUUCCUCAUCAUUUUGUCUUUCUUUUUCUUUUGCUUUUUUUAAUAGCCGAAAGUAUUGGCCAUAAUUCAACAAUCUCCACCUUGGCCAAAUUUCGAAAACACCAUGAUAAGCCACCAACACAAUCAACACAAAAAAAAUCACUCCCAAACACUAGCAAGAGAACAACUCAUGCCGAGCCAAAUGCUCCAAAACUCCUACUACUCAACGCCUUCUUUAUAUAGGCAAAAUGUGAGCCAAGUUCAAACAAUGAACAAACUUGGCUACACCAACAACCUUAGUCAACAUAUCAGCGGGGUUGUCUUUAGUUGGAAUCUUCUGGAGAAUGAUUUCCCCUUCACCAACAAUUUCACGAACAAAGUGAUAACGCACAUCUAUGUGCUUGGUCCUCGCAUGAUGAACCUGAUACUUAGCCAAAUAAAUGGCACUCUGACUAUCACAAUGUACCUCCACCUGCUUCUGAUCAACCCCCAAAUCUCUAAUCAGCCCAUGUAUCCAAAUGGCCUCCUUUAUAGCUUCAGCAACUGCCAUAUAUUCAGCCUCUGUAGUAGACAAGGCAACAGACGACUGCAAAAUAGACCUCCAACAAACUGGUCCUUUAGCCAUAGUAAACACAUAGCCUGUAGUAGACUUCCUACCAUCCAGAUCACCUGCAUAAUCUGAAUCAACAUAACCAACUGCAAAAUGACCAAUACCAGAGUCAUCUCUCUCAAAGCAUAAACCAACAUCUUGAGUACCAUGGAGAUACCUCAAUAUCCACUUAACUGUUUGCCAAUGCUCUUUACCUGGAUUAUGCAUAUAUCGACUCACCAUGCCAACUGCAUGAGCAAUAUCCGGUCUAGAGCAUACCAUUGCAUACAUCAAACUACCAACCAAAUUUGCAUAUGGUAUAUUUUUCAUUUGCAGCUUCUCUUUAUCAGUUUUAGGACACUGUAAAGAACUCAAUUUAAAAUGAGGAGCCAAAGGGGUACUAACCGGUUUGGUUGAAUCAUGAACUCCAAAUUUCCGAAUCAACUUUUCAAGAUAUUGUCUUUGAUUCAAACUGACCAAACCCUUCUCUCUAUCUCUAGUGAUCUCCAUGCCAAGGAUCUUCUUCGCUUCACCAAGAUCCUUCAUCUCAAACUCAUUCUUCAUUUGCUUCUUCAAUUUCUCAAUCUCUUCAACAUUCUUUGAGGCAAUCAACAUAUCAUCAACAUAUAUCAACAAAUAAAUGAAAGACCCAUCUUGCAACUUCUUGAAGUACACAAAAUGAUCAUAUUGACUUCUAGAAUAAUUUUGGCCUCUCAUAAAUUUAUCAAACCUCAAAUACCAUUGCCUUGGAGAUUGCUUCAAGCCAUAUAGUGAUUUCUUCAAUUUGCAAAACAAGUUCUCCUUCCCUUUCAUUAUAUACCCAUCCGGUUGACACAUAUAGAUCUCUUCAUUCAAAUCACCAUGUAGGAAAGCCGUCUUCACAUCGAGUUGCACAAGCUCAAGAUCAUAUUGUGCAACAAGGGCUAACAUAAUACGAAUUGAGGAGUGCUUCACAACUGGAGAAAAUAUUUCAUUGUAGUCAAUGCCCUCCUUUUGUGCAUACCCUUUAGCAACUAAUCUUGCUUUAAAUCUCACAUUGCUUUUCUCAUCAUCAUCUUCCUUCUUGGCAUACACCCAUUUGCAACCAAUAGCUUUCUUGCCCUUAGGCAAUUUAGCUAACUCCCAAGUCUUGUUCUUCAAGAGAGAAUUCAUCUCAUCACCCAUGGCAUUGCACCACCUCUUCUUCUCCUCACUCUCAAUAGCUUCCUCAAAAUUGGAUGGAAUCUCUUCAGUGAUAAUAGGAAGAGCAAAAGCAACAUAGUCACUAUACCGAGCUGGCUUGGUAAUUUGUCUCUUUCCUCUGUUCUUGGCAAUAGACUCUUGAGGUGAAACUUGCUCUUCAACUUGAAUAGAAUCUUCAAGUUCAACUUCUUCAACAUCCUCAUGGUCUCCAACUUCCUCACUUGUAGUGGCUUCGACAUCAGCGGAAAUAGGAUUUGAAGUACCAGAGGCAACUUUCUCAAGCUCCACCUGUUGGACAUUUUUCACAUUCUUCUCAGAGCCUUUGUACAUACUUUCUUCAUCAAAUGUCACAUCUCUGCUGAUUACAAGUUUCUUCAAUUCUGGGCACCACAACCUGUAACCUUUGACACCACUACUAAAACCAAGAAAGAUAGCCUUUUUGGCUCUAGGAUCAAGUUUAUUUUCAGUUACAUGAAAAUAAGCAGGUGAACCAAAAAUAUGAAUAUGAUCAUAAUCAGAAGAAGGUUUUCCAGUCCAUACCUCCAUUGGUGUCUUACCCUGAACAGCAGCUGAGGGUAACCGGUUGAUGAUGUGACAUGCAUAAUUAACUGCCUCUGCCCAAAAUGACUUGCUUAAACCCGAUUGAGACAACAUACAUCUAACCUUCUCAAGCAAGGUUCGAUUCAAUCUUUCUGCAACUCCAUUUUGUUGUGGAGUUCCUCGAACACUGAAAUGUCUCACAAUUCCUUCCUCUUUGCAAACUUUAAAGAAAGGAUCGGAUGUGUAUUCACCACCAUUAUCCGAUCUCAAAAUCUUAAUCUUUCUCCCAGUCUGAUUCUCAACCAUUUUCUUCCAACCCAAGAAAAUGCACAACACCUCACUCUUGUGCUUCAUAGUGUAGACCCAAGACCUUCUUGAAUAAUCAUCAACAAAUGUCACGAACCAAUGUCUACCACUCAAAGAGGGAGUCUUUGUAGGACCCCAAACAUCCGAAUGCACAUAAUCAAGAAUGCCCUUUGUCUGAUGUACAGCAGUACCAAACUUCACUCUAGUUUGUUUCCCCAAGACACAAUGCUCGCAGAAAUCAAGCUUACAAGUCGUGGCACCUUUUAGAAGACCUUGUUUCACAAGCCCUUGUAGAGCUUUCUCACCGGCAUGGCCUAAUCUCAUAUGCCACAGUCUAGUAGUAUCUGAAUCAGAUGUGCCCAUAUUUUCAGAGACUACAGAUGCUUCACCUGUCACAGUGCUUCCCUGCAAUAAAUACAAAUGACCACAUCUAGGAGCUUUCAUCACAACAAGUGCACCAUAAGUAACUUUCAAUGUCUGUCCAUCUGAAUGAAACCUGAAACCCUUGGAUUCCAAAGUACCCAAAGAAAUAAGAUUUUUCUUCAAAUUCGGUACAUACCGAACACCUGUCAACUCUUUAACCAUGCCAUCAUGCAACUUCAAACGAACUGUACCAAUCCCUUUUGUUGUGCAAGGAUUGUCAUCUCCCAUGAACACAACGCCACCAUCAAACUCUUUCAAGCUUGAAAACCAAUCUUUGUGAGGAGUCAUAUGAUGAGUACAACCCGUAUCUAACACCCACUUAGUAGCACAAUCAAAUGAUGAGGAAGUGGUUAAAGCAAAAUCAGAAAAAUCUGUUUCAACCUCAGCAACAUUAGCUUCAGAACUUUCUUUUCCUUUGGUCUUCAACUUAGGACAAUCUUUCUUCCAAUGGCCCUUAUUAUGACAAAAGGCACAUUCAUCCCUUUCUAAAUGUUUUCUACCUUUAGAGUUUCCUCUAGGUCGAGACUGUGAUUUUUUCCUACUAGUAGAGGACCUCCUCUCCGAUGAUCUACCUCUAACAAAUAAAGCUUCAGAGGUACUAUCAUGAUUUUUAUCUCUAUGCCUCAUUUCAUAAUUCAUCAAGGCAUUUGACACAUCUUCAAAUUUCACAGUUUCUUUACCAUGCAUAAUAGUGGUAACAAAAUGCUCAUAAGAGUCCGGCAAUGAAUUCAACAAUAUUAAGGCCUUAUCUUCAUCCUUAAUAUCCUCAUCUAAAUUUAACAAGUCGGCAAUCAACUUAUUAAAAGCAUCAAGGUGUCUAAUCAUUUUUGUACCUUCUUUGUAUUGGAAGCGGUAGAGCUUUUUCUUCAAGUGUAGCCGGUUCUCUGCAUUCUUCGUCAUAUACUUGUCUUCCAAUUUUUGCCACAACACACUUGCUACCGUCUCCCACAUCACAAAAUACUUCUGAGUUUUUGCAAGGCACAACCGAAUUGAAGAGCAAGCCCACAAAUUUAAUUUCUCCCAUUCCGACUUCGACAUAGCUUCCGGUUUUUCUCCCAAAACGGCAAGUAGAUCUUGUUGAGCCAACACAUCUUUAACCUCACAUUGCCACAUCCCGAAGUUGUUUGUGCCAUCAAACUUUUCCACUUCGAACUUUGCAUUUUGCACCGUAGUUCUUGCAAACCCGGAGGUGCUUCCAAAAGGAUUUUCAUCUUGCCCAUCUGACAUCUUUGGCAACUAGACAGUACCCAAGAGCAACCAGUGCUCUGAUACCAAUUGUUGUGCUAGGAUAGCACCAAACCCGUUGGAACCAACUCAAGCUAACCCACAGGAAAUUUAUCAAAUGAAAAUGCAAGAACAAAAUAUUAAAGAACACCAAGAUUUUAACGAGGUUCCUCAACAGUCAGUGUAACUGGAGUACGUCCUCGGAGCAGUAGGAGCUCACCCAAUAAUCCACUAUCAACCAAAUGGGAGUUUACAAAGUGUUGGCAAUCUCACAACCCAAAUAACCCAAUACACCCAAUAUCUCUCACACACCAAAGAAACAAAUAGAAGAAGAAAUAUAAUGAAUAAGUUCUUCUCUAUACAUAUAGCUCAAAGCUAUUACAACAACACCUAUUUUGGUGGAUGAUUACUAACCAAAUGAAGCAGCAGCUUCUUCUUCCUUUUGGGCUCUCUGCAGAAAAAAACUCUAACUUCUCUCUGCAGCUCUCUCUUCUCUCUUCAGCUCUCUCAACUGAAAAAUGAGAGUUGCAUCUCUUUUCUUCUAUCCGAAACAAACCUCAAUAAUUAUGGUUAAUAAAAAAACCACAAAAGAAAAAAAAACAUCAUCAUGAUGUCUCCUCAUCAUGAUGUUUCCUCAUCAUUUUGUCUUUCUUUUUCUUUUGCUUUUUUUAAUAGCCGAAAGUAUUGGCCAUAAUUCAACAGCAUGUACUCCGGAUUUUCUCCGGAUGCCUUGUGAUAUAUGCCGGAUGCUGGCUAGAGGAGAACAUUUUUCCUUCAGUUUGUCUGCUAAUUUACAGUCCUAGAAGAAGUUACUUAUCAUAACAUGUUGCCAAUGUUCAUGGAUAUAUACCGUUAUAUUAAUGAGUUUCUUUGAAAUUGUUUGUGAUAUUUUCGUGCCAAAUAGGACGAGAAGAAAAUUGCAUAUCUCAGUUUUUUAGCUCUCAUAAAGAUUUAUGUCUCUCUCGUUGCGAAACUUAUACUAUAAUUUUUGCUCCUAUGGUCUAUCAAAAUAAUAAUAUUUCAGUAGAUACUUAGUAGUUUAUUACCGUAAAUUUUGUGUUCAACUGAAAGCAGGGAGAACAAUGUGUACCUUUUUCUUUUCUUUUUUCCCAAUGAAUUUUUUAACUUCUUCCUCUACAACUAGGGGUGGGCAAUUGGAACCGAAAACCGAAACCGAAACACGAAUCGAAUCGAACCGCACCAAACGGUUUGGUUUUGCGGUUUUGAAACGGUUUCGGUUUCAAAACCAAACCGUGGCACACAAAACGGUUUGGUUUCGGUUUUGGGUUUUCAAAACCGCACCGAAACCAAAACCGCACCGUAUAAUAAAUAAUAAAACAAAUGUUAUAUAACUUAUAAUUUAAACUUUUCAACUAGGUUAUAACUUAUAGGUUUGGUUUUGCCGUGGGUUUGCACUUUGACUUAACUGCUUCUGCUUGCAUCUCUACUUCUGCCUUUGCAAUUGCAUUUUUGUUGCAUUAUUUUUUAGUGCAAUUUUGUGCAGUUUUGGUGCAGUUUUUGGUGCAGUUUUGCUGCUGUUUUUUAUGCAGUUUUGCUGCAUUUUUUUGGUGCAGUUUUGUGCAGUUUUGGUGCAGUUUUUGGUGGUGUUUGGGUGCAGUUUUUGGUGGUGUUUUGCUGCAGUUUUUUUUCUUCAGUUUUGACUCUUUUUUGCUGCAAUUUUACUGCAUAUUCAUUAAUUAAUAUACGAGGAAAAUAAGACCGUUUUAUGCAUAAAUAGGUGUAUAUUUUAAAUUGUACAUUUUUUUUCUCAAAAACCAAACCGAAACCGUUUGAAACCGCACCGCACCGAACCAAACGGUUUGGUUUUAUUUCGGUUUUGGCUUCAAAACCGCACCGCAAAAUGUUUCGGUUUCGGUUGUGGUUUCACUCGAAACCGCACCGCGCCCACCCCUAUCUACAACCCUUGCAUGUAGGUUUGGCAGUAAAAGAAGAGUUUCAGCGCAAUUAAAAUAAGGUUUUUUUAGCCAAAAUGGUCCCUGAAAUUUCAAAUCAAUAGAAGUGAUCCAUGAGAUUGUCUACUAUCCAUCAUUUUGGUCAUUCCGUUAAAAACUCCUUUAAGUGUCCCGGAGCUGUUGGCCGGAAGUUUUGGCAAUUUUCAAAGCUUCGUAACUCAAUCGUUUCUUAACCAAAUUUGACCCAUAAUAUAUCAAAAUGAAGAUAGGAAAGUGUAGAAUAAGAUUAUAACUAUUUAGAAGCCCAAUGGUUGCCGGAGAUGGUCGGAAAAUAGCCUCAAAGUUGACUGGUCCGAGGGAAAACUGGAAAACUGGCCGGAAACUGGGUAAACUUUAAAAGUUCAUAACUUCUUCAAUACUCAACGAAAUCAAGUGAUUCAAAAACAAAAAUCAUACUUCUCAAUGAGACAAAGAGAAUGGAACCUUUUUCAAUGGCUAACUCGCAGUGGUUUGGCCGAAAAACGGCUCAAAAUUGGCUAACUCGAGCCUAAGGCAGCCACUUUCGAGCCGUUUUCCGGCCAAACCACGGCGAGUUAGCCAUUUCAAAAGAUACCAUUCUCUUUUUCUCAUCGAGAAGUAUGAUUUUCAUUUUUGAAUCACUUGAUUUCGGUGAGUAUUGAAAAAGUUACGAACGUUUAAAAUCUACCCAGUUUUCCAGUUUUUCCUCGGACCAGUCAACUUUGAGGCUAUUUUCUAAUCAUCUUCGGCAACCAUUGGGCUUCCAAAUAGGUAUAAUCUUAUUCUACACUUUCCUAUCUUCAUUUUGAUAUAUUAUGGUCGAAUUUGGUUAAGAAAGAUUGAAUUACGAAGCUUUGAAAAUUGCCCAAACUUUCGGCCAAGAGCUCUGGGACAUUUAACGGAAUUUUUAACGAAAUGACCAAAAUAAUGGAUGGUGGCCAAUCUCAGGGACCAAAGUGAGGAGUUAUACAAAUCUCAGGGAUCAUUUUGGCUAAAAAGCCUUAAAAUAAUGGCGAACUAGUCUUUCGUUUUUUUAUGAACAAUAGGAUAAUCUACACUAAAUUAUUUUUUCGUCUUUUGUUAAAGGAUACAUUAAUUGAAAAAAAAAAACUUGAAGUGUUUGGGAUCAUUUAAAUUCCAAUUUCAAUAUAGCUAUUGGUUUAAGUAACAUAAUUUUUAGUUUAGGUACCAAUGAAAAAAAUCAACUAAAAUAAUUCUAUAAAUACUAUUAUAAUUCAAAAUAAUUAUAUAAUUGCUACGUUUUCCGACCAGCCAACUGUAUUCGCAACCACCUCACCCUUACUGUCAAUCUUAAUAACCAGGUUUCGACUAACCUCCUUGUACGGCAUUGUGUUUGCAUACAUGAGCCAAGGGAGGAGCAUUACUAUUUGCAUAUGAUAAAUAACCAUGUUUUUUAUGAGUACCGUUGGCUAGAAUUUCCAAUCAUUCCGAAGGGAUAAUCAAUCAAUUGCUUAUUAAAUAUUAUUUUCUCUAUUCUUAAUGUAAAUUUUAUAAUGACCGAUUUUAUUAUGUUAAUUACUUUAAUUAGUUUAUUAGAGGUUUCUUCUAGUAUAAUAUAAGAAUAUUUAUUUAUUUCCAAUAUUUAACUUUCCUUUUAUCAAUUUAUGCAUAUAAAUACAUUUAAAACGUGUAAGUCGCGCGUAGCACGUCGUGAUUCAAAAAAUGUCCUCUGCAUAAAGGCUAGUAAAGAGAAAGUAAAAAGAGGAAUCUGUCUUUUUGGGCAGAAAGAGGAAGACUUGUUAUAGUCUUUCAACACCUAAUCAUCAUCGCAAUUUGAAGAGCCUCGACUAGAUAAGAAGACGUCGCAUGUACUCGGGAUUUUCUCCGGGAUGCCUUGUGAUAUUCUGAUAUUGCUGCUGGAAAUAAAUGUUGGAACUUGUGAGUGGGACUUAGUCCCACAUCGCCCAAACACAUGGUGGAAGUCCACUUUAUAAGUCUUUUCCUUCCUUUAUGGUUUGAAAAGAAUUGGUCCAAAGCUAUGGACAUUGGCCUUACAAAUGGAGGUUUGAGUGUAUAUAUUAAGGGUAAAAGACUGUUUACUACCCUAAUGUUUCGUGGUUUUCAACAUUUAGUACAUCAUGUUUUUUUCGUCUCAGAGUCAUACCUAAAGUGUAAAUUUUGGGACAGUCUCAUACAUCCGUUAGUCAAACUGUUAAGUUUUUCGUUAACUGUGACGUGGCGCACUGAGUGGGCGUCAUCCACGUGUCAUGUUUUUUUUUUUUUUUUUUUUUUUUUUUUUUUUUUCUUCUUCUUCCUUCUUCUUGCUCCGACUGCAACUUUCUGUUUUUUUUUUUUUUUUUUUUUUUUUUCUUUCCUUUUCCUUCUUCCUUCCUUUUUCCUUUUUUUUCUUCCCCUUCUUCCUUCUUCUUCUUCUUCUUUCUUCCUCCGAAUUCUUUUUUUUUUUUUUUUUUUUUUUUCUUCUUCUUUCCUUCUUCCUUCCUUCUUCCUUCUUUCUUCUUCUUCUUCUUCUUCUUCUUCUUCUCCGAAAUCAGAUUCAUUUUUCUUUCUUUCUUCUUCCUUCUUCUUCUCCUUCUUCCUUCUUCUUCCCUUCUUCGUUCUUCUUCUUCUUUUCUUUUGGGGGAAGAUGAAAGUGUUUUUUUUUUUUUUUUGAGGAAGAAGAUGAAGAAGAGAAAGAAGAAAGAAAAAAAAGAAAAAAAAGAAAAAAAAAAAAGGAAAAAAAAAAAAAAAAAAGAAUGAAGGAAGAAAAGAAGAAGAAAAAAAAAAAAAAAAAAAAAAAAAAAAAAAAAAAAAAAAAAAAAACGAAAAAAGUGGAUGACAAAGAAAGAAACGAAGAUGGGUGAGAGCAAAACUAAAAAAAAACAAAAAACCACGGAGGAAGAAAAACAACUGUAAAAAAAUAAAAUUACACUUUUGAUCUCUGAGACGAAAAAAAACUUGAUGUACUAAAUGUUGAAAACAAAACACGAAAAAUUAGGGUAGUGAAAACAAACUCAGUUCUUUUACCCAUAUAUAAUAAAUAAGAAGGCCUUGGAAAGGAUAAAACUGAAAUAUCAAAGAUGGGCCUUGGAAAGGAUAAAACUGAUGACGAACAGUUCCAACCGUUCUAAAAACGGUACACUUGACAUUUGAUUUGUUUUAACAAUAAACAUUUUUCCUUCAGUUUGUCCGUUCUACCUAGAAAAAAGUUUGCAGUUAUCACAACAUGCCAAUAUUCAGUUAAUAUACUUAAUGAGUUUCUAUGAAAAUGUUCUUGAUAUUUUCGUGCCAAAUGGUGAGUGCAUUAUCUAUUUGUUCUAGCCUUGAUUUCUAGUUGCCCUCCAACCAUCAACGUUGCUUUUGCUUAAUUGCCAACCUUUCAUCUCUUAUUGUGCUUUCUUCUCAAUAUUCUCACACCUUCGUAGGACGAGAAGAAAAUUGUAUAUCUCAGUUUUAUAGCUCUAAUAAGAUUUAUAUCUCUCUCGUUACAAAACUUUUACAUUAAGUUUUCCUCCCAUGGUGUAUCAAAUAAUAAUAUUUCAGUAGAGACAUCUAUUACCAUAAAUUUUGUGCAAUUGAAAGCAGCGAGAACAAUACCUAUUAUUUUAUUUUAUUUUAUUUUUUCUCAAAGAAUUUUUUUGGUCAUUUUCCUCUGCAACCCUUGAGUUUCAAUCAACCCACACCCACUUUAUUUAUAAGAGUAAGGAGAACAAAUUUUUAAACCAAAUUUUGUAAAUAAAAUGAUACAUUACCAAUAGAAAAUAAGUACGUUAAUUAAUACUUGAAUAAUUUAGUCUCUCUAGCAUUAUCUUUAAAAUAAUGGCAAACUAAUUCUUUUGUUUUUUUUUUACGAAUGAUAGAAUAAUCUAUAUUAAACUAUUGUUUCGUCUUUUUUUCUUUUCUUUUUGUGAACGAUAAGACAAUAAACAAUUGAGAAAUUUUAUUUGAACUCAUACUUUGUAUCUCAACACUCAACUUACUUUUUAUAUUCACAUUGUAUUUGAUUUAUCUAUCAUUAUUUAUUUACACCCAACAUUAUUUUCGAAAUCGCCCUUACUUAUCAAAACCCAACUCAAUCAAACUUCUUUUUACACCCAACUCAAUCUACUUAAAAAUAAAAAAAAUUAAAACUCUAACCAGUCUAUCAUCUUCAUGGAGCAAAUCCCCUUCUCCCUCUUUAAAAAUCCUUCCAUCUCCCAUGGUUGUCAUUCUGCACCCCCAUCUACUUCUCCGUAGUCACUAUUUGGACCCGAUUUUAUACCAUCGGCCCAAGCGAUCGAGGCUGUUGAGUGAGCAUGGUUCUUAACCGUCAAUUAAGAUAAUUUGAUAUUGUUAAGAGAUAAUAUUAUGGUUUUUAAUCAUAAUAAUUAUCUUUUAAUAAAUUAUCUCAAUUUUCUUGUACAAAAUAAAUGGAAUGCAAAUCAUAACCUCAACGUAGAGGCAAGCAGAACAGUCCGAGUUAAUUUGGAUUUGUUAGCAGUGUACUAUGUGAAAUUAGAGCAGCUUGGCUUGGACUCUUCACGUGGCAUAACAUGGAUCUGCAAGUUUUGGAUAAUGGUGAAUAGAAAACCUAAGUAGGUUAGGUUGUUUGAUGAAUGUUGUCAGACGGAUAGGCUUUUGGAUGGGUGAUGGGUUAGGUUUUUAUUAGCUUUGAAAAGUCAACCAUUUGAAGAUAGGCUUUAAGCCUAUGUCACGGAUCAGUUUGAGUUUCAGUCGGUUUCUUCUUAUUAUCCAGGCCGUGCCAAACAGAAAAUAUGUUCAUAUAAAUACAGAGGUAAUUGCAACGCAUAGAGGACCUCCAACUCAACACACAAACUGCCAUGCGUAAACCCUUGCUCUACGCGAAACCUUUCAAACAUCUUGAGAUUUUUUAUUUUCUUUUUCGCCAACACAUCUUUAGUUUGGAUAAAUAGCACUAUGAAGGCAACCGAUGAAUAUCUUCAGUUUGGAUAAACAACAUUGUUACCGUAGAAUUAGCCGACCACAGAGCACCUUCAGUUUGGAUAAACAGCACUGCGUCAAGGCCGACUGGUUAUCUAUCCAAGUCUCAGUCGAGAAGGAUUUUGGAAUCCUUAUUGGCAGAUGUCAUCUCAUUAGCCUUUUCGGCCAAGUGAUGUGUUACAAGUUAUUACAUUCAGCACAUUGAAAGCCGAAUUUGAUAUUGAACUUUGCAGAACUAGCAGCCUUGUCUUCAGGCUCUAGAACCCGAAGGCUAAGAGUGUUCCUUCCUCGGCCGCAGUCCCGAGAUUCAAAAGUCAGCAGCGCACCCAACGUAACAUCAACAUAUUUUACUCCUCAGCCGAGCUCGGCCGACGAGUUGGCACGCCUCGCACACAACUGAAUGACGUAGUUAGCUUAUUAAUUACUCGGCUUGCGUGCCACAUAGGCUUAGUAGUUUUUAGGGUCAACAUCACCUAAACCUCUUCCUCUUCCUUUUCUUCAUCAUUUGACAUCUCUAAAUUUCUAGAGCACUAAUUAGCUUAAUAAUCAGUAUGAGCUUCUGGUUAGAGUGUUUAAUGAGUUUGAUAUGUUUCAAUUAAAUGACAAUCUUCUAGCCUCUAUAUUCCUAUAUGUGGUAGAAAAAUGGGUACGUCCAUAAUAACUUUUGGUAGAUCAAUGAAUAUUUUAAAACGUGGAUAUUUAUUAGAUACAAAAGUUGCUGACAACAAUUCACAUUACAUUGAACUGUGGCUAAAAAGUAUAUCGUCUUAGCAUGUUUUAUAGGUGAACUCAUAGCUAAACAGUUUUUAUUGUAAAGCAAAACUUUGGGAAUUGAUCUAACAUGGAUGUGUAAUUGAGUUUAUGCAUUUUAACGAUUAAAAUGAUAAAUAUUUCGACUGUAAAUGGAUUUAAUAUCGUAGUAUCUUUUAGCCUCUAUAUGCCACAAAAGUUGUGGACAAAAAUUCACAAUACAUAGAACUGUGGUUAAAAAGUAUACUGCCUUUGCACGUUUAUAGGUGAACUCAUAGGUAAGCAGUUUUAUUGUUGACCAAAACUUCGGGAAUUGAUCUCACUUGAAUGUAUAAUUGAGCUUAUGCAUUUUAAUGAUUAAAUUCAUAAAUAUCUCAACCACAUAUAAAUUUAAUAUCGUAUUGUCCUUUAACCUCUAUAUUGGUAUCUGUGACAAAAAAAUGGGUACCUCCAUGAGAAAAUUUUGUAGAUCGAUUAAUAUUUUCAAUUUGGAUAUUUAUUAGAUACUAGAAAUUAUAAGUCUAUUUGCGAAAGUCUAAGUCAAUGCCACGUACAAUAUUUGUUAAGAUAUAUUUAGGGAACUGUUAUUAGCACUCCAAAAAUCUCAUUCUACACUCCACACAAGUGUAUUUUUCUUUCUAAUUACAAAAAGUUUGGAAUGCCAAAUGAGAUUUUUGGAGUGCUAAUAACAAUUUUCUAUAUUUAUAUACAUUUUAUUUUUUGGUCGACUUCCCUUUUUUUUUCUUUCUUUAUCAAGUUAGGAGUAUCACUGAUUUUGAACUUGUGCAACUAGUUGUUGAUUCGUUUUGAAUAAUCAACAUUAUUUUUGACAAUGUCUUGGGCGUAUGAAUAAUAGAAAGAAAAUGGUCAUGAUACAAGUUGAAUAGUAGUAAUACUAAUUAGUAAACAAUUUGUGCAUGAUGUUUACUUAUAACCAAGUGGCAUGAAGGGACAAAUGUGUAGGUUUCAUGCAUGACUUGAAAUCGUAUUAGUAAAUGCAUGAUGUUUGCUUAUAACCAAGUGGCAUGAAGGGACAAAUGUGUAGGUUUCAUGCAUGACUUGAAAUAAUAUUAGUAAAUGCAUGAUGUUUGCUUAUAACCAAGUGGCAUGAGGGGACAAAUGUGUAUGUUUCAUGCAUGACUUGGAAUAGUAUUAGUCGUCGGGAGAUUUUGCAUCAAUUUGUUUUUGUUUUUUUUAACCAAGUGGCAUGAAAGGACAAAUGUGUAGGUUUCAUGCAUGACUUGGAAUAAUAUUAGUAAAUGCAUGAUGUUUGCUUAUAACCAGGUGGCAUGAGGGGACAAAUGUGUAUGUUUCAUGCAUGACUUGGAAUAGUAUUAGUCGUCGGGAGAUUUUGCAUCAAUUUGUUUUUGUUUUUGUUUUUAAUAUGUAUAUAUUAAUAUCUAUUUUAAUGGGAUUGCUCUCCACCCCUAAGUUGUGAUAAUGCCUUUAUUUAUCGUUAUUAUGUGAGUUUAAUUAAAUUUUGAGAUUGUGUUUAUCCACUACAUACAUUUAGAAUAUUUUUUUUUUAGUCGAGCGACAACAUUAAUAAGUUAGAUGUUAGAUUAGUCACCGAUAGAAUUCGAACUCACGCCAUCAUGUAAGAGCACAACACUUUUUCACCAUUGUGGUAAAUGGCCACUUGCCAACAAGUUGAUUGGCCUGUGUGACUUUACUAAUACUACUCCAAGUCAUGCAUGAAACAUACACAUUUGUCCCUUCAUGCCACUUGGUUAUAAGCAAACAUCAUUCACAAGUUAUUUGCUAAUUAGUACUACUCUUAUUCAGCUUGUAUCAUGACCGUUUUCUUUCUGUUAUCCAUACGUCCAAGACAUUGUAAGAAAUAAUGUUAAUUAUUCAAAACGAAUCAACAACUAGUUGCACAGGGUCACAGUCAGUGAUAUUCCAAACUUGAUAAAGAAAGGAAAAAAAAAGAAGUCGACUUUCAAACUUGAUUAUUCUACAAAUAUUACUAUAUAGAAUUCAAAUAAUUAUACGAUUGCCAUUUUUUUCGACCUGUCAACUGUAUUCCCAACGACGUUACCCGCACAAUCAAUCUCAAUAACCAGGUUUCCACUAACCUCCUUGUACUCCAUUGUGUUCGCAUACAUGAGCCAAGGGAAGAGCAUUACUAUUUGCAUUCUGAUAAAUGACCAUGAUUUUUUUUAUGAAUAUUGCAGACUAGAAUUUCCAAUCAUUCCCAAUGGAGAAUGGUUCAAUCAUGACAUCAUGAGCUAAGAAUACAAUUUUGAGUUUAAAUUUCUCUCCACAUACAUCACGUUAAUUUAGUUUUUUUUCUACUUUCCUAGCAUGUUCUCUUUCGUGCAUUUUAAAUAGUGACUUAAUAGUGAAAAAACAGAUUCAUAUAGAGAUAUAAGUCUAAAAUUACUUGUCACUAAUUCAGUCACCAAGCUUAAGUCGUCUAUCUUUAAUCUUCAAAAUUAACACAAUAAGCUAGUAAUUUCACUUCAUCAAAAUAUUGCUCAAUGUUGUUUGACUUGUUUCCUUUCUUAAACUUUUAGAUGCUCAUUAAUUAUAUACUAAAAAACCUUGCUCUUCAUCUUCAAACGGAUCAUAAUCCAAUAUAGCUCUGUUACUAAAGGCUGGUUUGGUAUUGCUGCGCUUUGAAAAAAAGCUGUUGUGAGAAUAAGUGGCUGUGCUGUGAGAAUAAGCGGCUGUGAAAUAAAUCAGCAGAGUGUUUGGUAAACUUUUUUGUAAAAGUGCUUUUGGAAAAAAAAAACAGUCUGAUAGUGGGUCUUUUCAUUAAAGGAGCACUGUAGCUCUGUGUGCUUUGAAAAAAAGUCAGUUUUCCAAAGCUGCAAAUAGCAGCUUCAGUUUUUUCCUUUGAUUUCAGCUUAUUCUCACAACAGCUUCCAAAAUAAGCCUUUUUUUUUUUUCAGUUUACCAAACACCUAAAAGCCUCAUAACUUUUUUUGAUAGGUGCCUUUUUUUUUAAGCACCUCACUCCCAAACCCAACCUAAGUAGCAUAACUACAAGUCUGCAAGAUGGCAAAAGCAUAAUCCAUUGUAACUUUGGUAGAUCAGGUGUCGGCAGGAUCAUUUUCUUCUAAAUUCAAGUAGCAUAACUACAAGUCUGCAAGAUGGCAAAAGCAUAAUCCAUUGUAACUUUGGUAGAUCAGGUGUCGGCAGGAUCAUUUUCUUCUAAAUUCGGUGACGGAUGGAUCAUUUUCUUCUUGUUUCAAGUGUUGUGUGACUCAGGUUUUUUUAGAGUCUUUUACAGUUUUAAAUUGAUUGUCUCUACAUCAUCUACUAUGGCCUACAAACAAUUGAAACAAUCACCCUCCCAAAAUAAUAUGAUCGGUGUUGCAAGGGAUUGUAGCUUAGUUGUGUACAAGCAGAUGUUUUUUUUAGUAUAUCGAUAUUUUUUAUAUUAAGGAAGAGAAGAAGUUUGGAUGAGCCACACAAUAGAUAGUCUAAUUUGAUAUUAAAUUUUUCAUUCACGAGAUUCGAACAUAAGACCUCUACUUCUAAGUGAAGAGGAAUAUCACUAGAUCGUAGUACUAAGUAGCGCAAUCAGUCAUUUAUUUGUUGAGAAUAAAUCUUAUAUUAAUGAAAUGAGAGACUUUGUAUGUGCUUAUAAUAAGUAGUUGAGGUACUCUUCCUAUAGUCAAUUGUUUUUAUGGUGGAACUUCAAUCUCUUUUUCUUGCUAUCAAAACAAGUUGUCUCAUGUAUGAAGCAUAACGGCCUCACGUGAUCCACAUCUUUCGAAUUGUAUUAUCCACAUGUUAAACUUGAAAUUUGUCAUACGUAAUGGAAUGAAUCUCAUAUUAAAAAAAGAAAAAAAAAAGAGACUUUGAAAUCUCAAUUUUAUUGUAUUUCCAUCCAAAGUUCUAUAUUUUGAUUUCCCAUCUCCAAAAUCGCUCUUAUAAAGAAAAAGAAAAAGUAUAACGAACGUGUAGGACUUUGGAGAUAAGAAAUCAAAUAAAAAGACAACAAUAUGACCCCACGAUAUGACCCCACGAAAAGUACAGAGAGAAACGAGGAGUCCUUUGUGGUCCGAAAGGUUACAAGUCUUUCAACACCUAAUUAUCAAAAGCAAAUUGCAGCGUUCGAGAGUAGUCUGGAUUAGGGCUGGCAUUUUGAACCCGAUUCGUUAAUCCGAUCCGAUCUGAUCCGUUAAAACUAGUAUUUGGGUGAAUGCUUAACGGGUUAGGUUAUUAACGGGUCAACCCGUUAGUCACCCGUUAAGUAACGAGUUAUUUUGAGUCAACCCGCGAAACCCAUUAGCACCCGUUAACACCCGUUAAGAAGGACUUAUGUGUAAUUUCAUAGUUGGAAUAGAAAACCUAGCUCUCUCUGUUCUCUCACAUUCGAACCCGACUGAGUGGCUGCUGUUCUCUGAGAACUUCUCUCCCUCAUCUUCUUCCUCAAAUUUGGCUGCCGUUCACUAAGUUUGUCAUCCUCUCUCUGGUAAGUUCCGAUUCCCUUUCACCUCUUCUUCCAUGGCGAUUACUUUUCGUUUUUGCAAAUUAUAUUUUUUGUCUAAUUCUCAGUUUUCGCUUGAGCUUGGUUUGAGGUGGUAUUCUUCAGAUGAGCUUCAAAUUAAUUUGGAAUUAGUUGAUUUGUGUUUGAUGAUUUCAAUUGCGAUUGUGCUUUUGUUGUGCAAAUGGUGUUUUCUGUGUGUGAUUGUACUUUUGUUCUCUUCCUUCUCAAGUUAGAUAGAGAGAGAUCUUCCCACUUCUCCAUCCCAUCACACACUUGAUUCAUACACACACACAUACAUACGUUAUUCUUCUAUUAUGGGUUUGAUGGUGAUUGAGGAGGAGAAGCAGGCGGCGGCCAAGCCCUUCGACGAAUUGAGUUUUGAUUAGAAUUGGGUUUUGAUUAAAAUAUGUGUUCUUUUGCCUGAAACAGACUCUGGAUCUGUUGAUUUUCAUAAUCCAUGAAAACAAGUCCCUUCAUCUUCAUCUGAAAACUUCUACGUAGUAAGUUCCUCUUGCAACUAUAUAUGCGAAACUCAUUAUUUAUUAAAGUAAACUGUCGAUUUACCCCCUGAACUUUCACCUCACUUUCGAUUCCCUCUUGAACUUUUCAAUUGGAAAAUUAAGGACUCAAACUAAUUUUUUUAGCCAAUUUGCCCCCUACUGUUAGUUUUUCAUAUAUUCUAUCUAUAUUUCUGUUAAGUGAGACCAUAUGCACAACAUGUGAGGGUAGUUAAGUCAUUUCACUCUUAAAAAUGAUUAAAAAUUUGAAAAUAAAAAAAAAACAAAAUUUUCCCUCUAUUUUUUUCCGCUAAUUCCUAUCAUCGAUUUUAUUUUUCCCUCUCAUUCUUAUGCAUGAGAAAUGACAUAUGGUGUUAUUGUCUACCAUUUUUAUUUUCUCUAACAAAUUAAUAAUUUGACAAAUGCUAAUGGUGCUAUUGUCUCCAAAGCAGUUCAUUAAUAUAAGAAACUCUAGUCUUUUUUAUGGACAUGUUUCUUAUAUUAAUGUACUGCUUUGGAGACAAUAACACUAUGAGCAUUUGUCAAAUUAUUAAUUUGUUAGAGAAAAUAAAAAUGGUAGUACAUGCUUCAAGAAAAAGAUUAACUUAGCUACUUAUGAAGACAAUAACACUAUAUGUCAUUUCUCAUGCAUAGAAAUGAGAGGGAAAAAUAAAAUUGAGGUUAGGAAUUAGCGGGAAAAAAUAGAGGGAAAUUUUUUAUUAUUAUUUAUUUUCAGUUUUUAAUCAUUUUUAAGAGUGAAAUGACUUAACUAUCCUCACAUGUUGUGCAUAUGGUCUCACUUAACAGAAAUAUGGAUUGAAUAUAUGAAAAACUAACGGUAGGGGGCAAAUUGGCUAAAAAAAUUAGUUUGAGUCCUUAAUUUUCCAAUAGAAAAGUUCAGGGGAAAAUCGAAAGUGAGGUGAAAGUUCAGGGGUAAACCGACAGUUUAUCCUUAUUUAUUAAUUAAUUAUUUCAUUUUUCUUGAAGUUUGUAUAUUUAAUUAGAGAUUUCAUCAAUAACCAGCUAUAUAAUUUGUGCGGUUUUCAGCCUUGAUUAUUCCGUCAUUCGGUCUGGAUUUGUUGACUAUAAGUGCAAACAAGUGCCCUCAUGACCUGACAGACUUCCACCGCGUAACUGCUGCUUGCUUCAGAUCAUGUCCAAUAUUCGUGCAACGGUGCAAGUUUCGAGUCUUGAAGCGUAGGAUUGCAAGAAUCCCCCUGCAGUUACGGGUAAUCCCAAAACUGCCCCAUUUUUUGUCCAACAGGUUCAAAUUUAAGAAAAAUAAUGUUUACUGGUAUAUGAUUUUUGCAAGCUUCUGUUUUUCUUUUUGCUCGUCUUUUAAAUUGAUAUGGUGUGUUUCAUUAAUUAUUGUGUUUUAUGUCAUCUUAAAUGGCAAGUGAAUCAAGUGAUGUACACAAUUAUUCAAUGAGAUAAAUUUAUUAAUUGAUGUGACAUAUCACAUCAAAUUGUACGUAAAUAUGGUAUAAACAUAUGUGAUUUCCUAACAUUUUCGGAUUUUCCUAGUAAUAUUAUAUGGCGUGUUAUUGUGCUUUAUACAUACAAUAUCAAGUUUUUCUUUUUCUUUUUUAUUGGAACAUACAAUAUCAAGUUAUUAGAUUAUUUUAUGGUACUAUAUUAGGGACUGUAUACCUGGCGGUGGGACGGUUAUGAUGUAGGCAACCUUGAUCUGAAUCCGGCCCGUUGCCAUCCCUUGCUAUUCCCAAAUUGUUAUCUCUAGAUAUGCUUACUAGGAGUCCAUUAAUUGAAUAUUAUUUCAAUUUUACUAUAAAUUUGUAUAGGUAAAUGCUAGGGACAUUAAAUUAUUACUUUAAUCUAAAGUACGGUUUGAAAUUGGCACUAUUCAAAUGAACAGUGUUUCAAUUCGAAUUUCAGAUUAAUUACCACCAUGCCAUUGGUUUUUGUGUUGGUUUUGGGUCAGCAGCCCGUCCCUCAGCCAGGCCCAAAUGUGUUGGCUUUAGCAGGGAAGACCGGCCCUCAGUGAGGCCCAAAUUAUUUAAUUACAUUUUUGCCCAUCAAAGAUUACAAUCCGACGGUGGGGAUGGUGUAUUACGAAGGGCAAUUUUGUCCUCUCCGUUUUGGGCGAGUAGGGGGUCACCGGUUGGUAUCAUUUGAUGUCGUUCAAUUAGGGUUUCGGGGAGGUCUGUGAGAGAGAGAGAGAGAGAGAGAGAGACAGAGACAGAGACAGACAGAGACAGACAGAGAGAGAUGGCGAUGGAAGGAGAGCGAGGGGGAGGGGUAGGGGUCUCGGCACUGUUGUUGCAGAUGGGAGGGUCGGUAUGGUCAGAGAAGACCAUAUGGGUCGUCGGGAUUUUGGGGAGACGGGGUAGGGGUCAUCUGCAAACCCUACUGAGAGUGGGGUGUGCCGGAUCUUGUGCUGCAUGCCUCGAAUCCAAAGAUAUGUUUUGGGGGAUUUGUGAUCUUACAGAGAGAGAUGGAUAGGGAGAUAGAGAUAGACAGAGAGAGGAGAAAGCAUGGCUGUGUGCAUUUUUUGGGGUUAAUUAAUGGGUUAAUGCGCAGGGUCAGUGAGGAGAGAGUGACAGAGGGGUGUAUGGCAGGGUAUGGGUUUUCAGUUUUUCCCUCUGAUUCAAUAAGUUAUGCACUGUUUGAAAAUAAUUGUUUAUUGUUUUGUUUUCCGUUGGCUUUGUUAAAACCAUCAUUUGAAUUGUUUGGUUUCACUGUGCUCAUUUCUGGGCUUCUUCAAAAUUUUCUGGUGUUUGCUUCUCAUUCCCCUGUUGGUUGAUUUUUUUUUUCCCAUUUCUUGGUUCUUUAUGUAUUCCUUGGUUCUGUCUAAAUUUUUGCUGUGGGAUGAUGCUUGCAGGUGAACUAUAUGCACGGUUUUUUGAGACGAGUUAAGAAGAUCCACCUGAAAACAACAUACAAGAUAGAGAACUAGUAUGCUGCUUUGUCUUUCUGUUGGAUUUUGAUGUUUAUGUUCUGCUACUAAGAGGAUUUUAUAGUGUUCUAAAUCUGUUUUGUAAAUGUGCUUAAAUAUUGGACAUGUUCUUGAAUAUUAGCCAUGUUGUUUGAAUUGGAUAUGUGAUUGAAUAUUAGGUAUUUAUUUUGAAUUGAUUUGGAUAUGUGGUUUAUUGAAUUAGAAUUUGGAUAUGUGCUGAUUUGAAUUGGAUAUGUUGAAUUAGAGAUGUGCUACUUUGAAUUGGAUAGGUUGAAAAAUGACAAGCGAUGGUAAAAUAUGUUUGGAAUACACUAGAAAAAUUAGAUAGAGGCUUGAAAGGACUAGAUCGAGUACAUUUGAAAGAACUAUCAGUACAAGACAACUUUGUUUAGUGUUUUUGUAGUGGUGUUCUAAUUGCAGCUUCAUAGUUUUAGUCUAAUGUUUUUGUUGUACAGUUUUUAACAACCGAAUCUAAAAUCCCUCUGUACUUUAAAGUCUCUCCUCCAGACAUCACAUUAGAGAAUUAUAACUAUUCAACAUUCUUGGUGCAUCGGCAUAUUAAUGAUUGUAUCACAGAAUUUUGGCAAAGUUCCUUGAAUUAUUGAACAGUUAAUGCUUUCCAAAUGUUUUACUUUGAUUCAUUGUCUCACAUUUUCCAUGGUACAAGUUUACAUGAUUGCAAGCCGAUAGAAAGAGAUAUAUGUAGGGAGAAGCGGGAAUUGGGGAGAGAGAGAGAGUGAGCGAGGGGUGCGGUUGCUUUUUAAAGAUAUCUUUGAAAUUGUUUCUGCAGUUUUUUUUUUUUCUUUUGGGUGAAUUUUCUUGAGUUCUUUCUGUUUGUUUGGAAUUAUUCCAUUUUUACUGAGAUUCUUUUGGUCCCUGCCACUAAACUCUGAUUUCUGCUAUUAAUUGCUGUUGACAUGUGACUUUUGCUAUUAAUUUUGUAAAUUAAUUUAAUUAAGAUGCUCAAUGUUCCCUUAAUUGUGAUUAAGAUGGUCACAAUCCUACCAUCCUCUGUAUGCUCUGCCAUGUCCGCCGCCAAUGUUUUAUUUUUACUUUUUAACCCUUUCGUACAACAUUUAAAUAAUCAGGUGGAAAUAGUAAUUCUAUUUUUCGACAAACGAUAGUGUUAGUAGGUUAAAUUGUUAGUUGUUAUGAGAGAAGGAGAUCGUUCUAGAGAUCAAACUCUCAUAAAAAUAUAUGAUGAUUUCUGCAAAUGCGAUCAGCAGUUGCAUAUUACAAUAUACAGCUUCAGUUGGCAUCAGUUUCUUAAUGAGUGGCAUGUGAAUUCUUAAUUUAAUUUCGGAAAGAAAUGCGUUUAAAUUUGGUGGUAUGUGAUGAAGUUAGCAUUCUGUUUUUUAUUAUAUACUGGUGAUGGACAUUUUUAGCAUAUUGGAUUUAUCAUUUUCUAUAAAAUGAAGCUUCAUUCUCACUAUGUUGUUGAUGUUUUUUGUGAUUUCAGUUUAUAGUGCUUCUAAAUGCUGUUUUAAUUUAGGAAUUUGAAUAAUUGUUUAAAUGGGAUUGGAGGGUGAUAAAUAUUUCUAGCUAGGGAAAGGUCACAUCCAUGUGUUGGUCGAAUUGAUGGAUGUAAAAAAUGAAUAUGGAUGAACGUCUAGCUACUGCAUGUAGAUUCAGCUUUCCUUUGCAUUUGAGUGAGUUGGAAACCGAGUGGAACAGUUUGAGAGAGAGAGGGAGGGAGGGAGGGAGAGAGAGAGAGAGGACGAUGUUGGGAUUUUGGUAAAGAUUUGAGCUUUAGUUGUAAGCAUGCUGAUAUGAGCUCACAGUAAAACCCAACAGUAUGUAGAUUGAAUUGAGUUGGGAACUGAGUGGAAAAAUAUUAGAGAGGAUUGUGUUUUCUGAUGCGUCUUUGAGCCACUGACCAUAGGUGGAGUCUUAUACUGCAAUAUUAUGUGCUAAUCUAAUAAACCCUGCAACUUAUUCAUCUUUGUCAUGAGUAAUUUUUGGUUUUUUUCAUUGGAAUAGGGAUUUAGUGGAUGGUUGUUUUUAACGCAUAUUAGUUAAAAUGAGUUGAGUAUUGGGUGCUAAUCCCAUGUCUGCAAAUCACAGUACCCUAAGGAAGAAACACUGUCUGCACGAUCUAUAAUACCUGUUCAAGCAAGAAUCUUUUCCCAAACUAAAAAGCUUACAUAUCAAAACGUGUAAAGGAUGUGCCACUAUCAUCUUACUUUUUCAAUACCUAAACCAUGCAGUGAUGCAUGGGCUGGAUAUUGCUCCUUUCAAGUUUCAAAUCAUCAAAUGCUAAAGGUUUCUAGAUAAAUCAUCAUAGAAGUCGAUUCUGCAGAUUCCUUCUUAGUUACACUCAGAUGAUAAUGUAUUUAUAGUCCUUGACAUGUUUUUAAAGUUUGCAUUUUCAAUGUAUAUAUCAUUAACUAAGCUUUAUCAGCAGAAUAUCAUCGCAAAUUUGUUACGGAAAAUGCUAUUGCUAGAUUCUGAUUUAUCUACUUUAGUUUUAAGGAUUACACAUUGUUUUACGAUAUAAAAUAGAUGUUCUGCCUUGAUUUGAUGCGGGGGUAUGCAUUAGCUAACAUUAAUUCUGUUUAGUAUUUCUCAAAUUCAUUUUGGGUUAAAAAGUUGGAGCUUUGGAUUGGGUUUUUUCUUUAUUCAGCUAUCAUUUUCUGCUUAGGAGACUCUCUUAAACUGUCUGAAACUGUGCUCAUUAGGCUGGGCAGAGCACUGACAAGCUAAAAACAAAACAAAAACAAGCAGAAUUAUCACAUGUAGUGCAGGAUGUUGAAUGUCUUUUCCUCAUUGCAAAUCCUAAACGACCCAAAUCUGGAUGGUAAAAUACUUCGAGUUGGAAUUAAUAGGAUCGAUUGAAACAUGGAUUUUUUUUAUUAGAUUGGUAUAUCUGACUUAAUUAAGAAGUAGUUUAAGACAGUCAUUAGGGAAUUUCUGUAAUUGAACGUAGUUGUUUUCAUGAGGUUGAUAAAUACAAUAAGGUGCUUCUAUACCAAUAAGUGAUUUUAUACGGACACAUUGUAUGAUGUAAAAUGGUAAAAGGAGUACCCAUUCCUGUCCAGUCUUAUGUUUUCCGAGUCUUGCUUAUUUUUCAUUAGUCAUAUGAAAGAUGCUGCAAUACCGUGGGAUCAUAAUAGCUAAGAAACUGGACUUGGACAUCUUUAUUCUAUAGAGCGUUUGUAAAAGUAAUUUAGACUUUAUUAAGUUUAUAUUAAUCCUUCACUUCUGUUCAUUCAUUGUAAUUUCUAUUUGGUUUGUCUGCAUUUGUCUUAGGAGACUCUGUGGGGCUGCUUAAAUUUUAUAUAUUCAAUUGCAUAGAGUCGGCAUGACAUGCACAGAGAUUGUCAGAUUGCCACCCUUAGUUGGUGAUAUUAUCUUUACAACACAUUCAAAUUGAGGAUUUAGAAAAUCUAAUAAUAAAAUUGAAAUAUAUGUUCGAUGCUUUUUGUUUUCAUUUUCGGUUAAAAGGUUUCAGCUUUGGAUUGGUAUUUACCUUUAUUAAUCUAUAAUUUUGUGCUCAGGACACCAUCUUGGGGGUCUUAAUAUGAUUGUUCUUCUAUUUCAUAGACUCAAAACGUGUUUAGUGUCUCAUUUAAUUGGUGUACCUUUGCUCAUUUAACUCAAAUUUAAUACGAUUUGGUCCUCCAAUUUCUCUAAAUUGCUAACGGAUUUAUUUUCUUUGGAAAUUUCAGGAACUCUGGUUGUGGUAGGAACAAGCCGGCUCCUUGCUAUUUUUAGGUAUAUGAUUAUGUGCCUUGAUUGCAUGUUCAAAGUCUAAUUAGUUAUAUAAACUUUUAAUUUAUCUUUGCAAAGCUUUUGUACUUGGAUUUUAGAUAUGUGAUUGGUUUUUGAAAAAUUAAUGAGAAGGCUAAUCAUGGGGACAUUCUUAUUUCUGAAAUUUUCUCUUCAGCAUUGUUUCUUGAAUAAAUUUGGAUUGGUAGAUGUAGGGGUAGAGCAACACCCGUGGUGUAAAUAAAAGGUAUAGGCGUAAUGAUUUCUAGGUUUAGAAUUCAUUCAAAAAUAUGAUAUAAUGCUGCGUUCUCUAAUUUUUUUUUUUUGCUGUUUGCUGUUCUAAACUUUUGAACUCCUUUUUGGAUUGAUCUUUGUUAUUUUGUUUUUGGGGGUAUCUGAUAGGUCAAGGUUGCCUAAUCUUGGUUGUACUUUUUCCCAAGACAUGGCACAUUUGAAACUUUGAAUUCUUGAGUUUAUAUUUUAAUUCUCAUUAGUUAAUGCGUAAUAUUUGGCCUUUUAUUUUGAGAUUAGAAUGAAUACGUUUGGCCUGAAAGACAGUAAACUGAAUUAAAAGCUGGCUUAUUUUCCAUUGGCCAUCAAUUAGGGUGAGAAAACAUUGAAUUGAGAUCCUUAAACAGCGCUCAUAUAGGGUACUAUACCAAAUGAGCUCGAAGAGGACUCAGCAAUUGAAGAACAAUUGAUGGGCAUACACCUUGGACAUGAUUAAGUUAGUUGAACAUUAUACUAUAACAAGUACAUAUUUCUGCUAAAGGACCAUACCAAAUAAGGAGUCAGGUUCACACACAGACACGCACACACACAUCUGAUGUAAAGUUAUUCUAUUAGAUGGUUUCCAGAUUGACCCCCCCUUGCUAAAUCUAUUUCAAGGCUGGAAGGAGAGUUAAAACAUAUGUUAUUGUCUUAUAUGUUUGUAUUUGAAUGGUAACGAUGUUGUUCUUCUGGUGGAAAAAUUUUCCUUUGAAUCCAUUUCAGCUUAGGCUCUACUUUUUUAUUUCAUUUCAACGUCAUUUUCAUGUUCAUCAUGCCCUGUUGGUAUGUGUUUUGUGUUGGCAUUGGAGGGUGGUGGGUUGUCGUUUUGUUUUUCUUUUCUUUGAUUGUAAGACCUUCUAACGAUUGAAUUUAUUUUAUGCGACUCAUUUUGAUCCCCUAGUUUGAGUUUUUCAGUUACGUAUCAAUACUUAACUGCUGGAUUUUUCUUAAGGAAAUUGGAUAUAGGCUAUAUACUAUGUGCAAAAUUCAUGGAGAUCAAGUUUUUGUUGGGUUUUUGACUCAAAAUUAGGAUGAUGCAAUAAAUUAGGUUUGUGUUACCUAUUUGGUUUUGGUGUCCUAUUUGGGUUUGGUUUUGACUUCUUAGUUAGUUUCCUUGGUGGAGAGAUUUUGUUAAUUACCUAUUUGAUUAGGAUUUGGAUUUAUUUCCUAUUAGGAUUCAUAUUGUAACCUAAGUCCUAUGCACUAUAAAUAGGACCUUAGGGUUAGUGUAUUUAGUGUGGCUCAUUCGUGUGGCAAUUUGGUGAGAGUCAAGUUUCAGGCCCUAGGAAGUGGGAGGAAAGCUAAAGCUUUGUGGGGUUGUCUGGUCUCGGCAGUUUUUUGGAACAUUUGGCUGGAGCGUAACAAAAGAAUUUUUGAGGAUUAUACAGGUGUGGGGGUAGAAGUACUUUGGGGAAGAGUAAAAUAUUGGGCAGCCCUUUGGGCUUCAGUCUCAAAUGUUUUUAAUAAUUACUCUAUUUCUCAAUUACUGUGGGAUUUGUUAGCAGCAGUAAAGUGAGUUAGGUCUAGCUAAUGUUGCUGUAGCCAAAUCCUAGUGAGAGUUUUUUCUUGUUUCUUGUUAAUGGUGGAUUUCUUAUCCACUCCAGUGUAUUUCUCUUUUCUUCUAUAAAAUGUUUUGUUUCUUCUCAAAAAAAAAAUUUGUGAGUUUGUGAGUUAGAGAGCAAUUUGGGAGAAUCUUCUCCGUUAGUUUUGGGUUCUCUACUCGUUUGGUUUAGGGUUUGUAAUUUGUGGGAUUUGGGUUGUGAGAGUUUAAACACUCUUUUGUAAGCUCCAUUUGUUUAGUGAAAUUCCUCGCCGUGCUUUGCUCGUGGACGUAGACUUUACACCGAACCACGUAAAUCUCUUGUGUUAGUUUGAGAUUGUUUGUUUUAGCUUUCACCUACGACGUUGAUAUUGGUACUUUGUUAGAAUUCGCUUCCGUUUGUGCAUAAAAGUACAACAGUUUUGUGCUUUCAUUUGUCACAACGCAGUUUUUUGUUUUCAUAAAUGAAGUUUUGUGCUUUCAUUUUAUUUAUUUUAUUUUGUCUUUCAGUCAGUUUUUCGUUUGAAAGAACUCUUAAUUUUCAUGGAAAUAUAGUUAUUUGUGAAUAUGGAAACUUGAUACUGUGUAGACAUCAGAGUUCGUAUGUUUGUGAUAUGAAAUUUAAAUACAAGCUUCCCAAUUUGUUUUUGGAAUUUUAACUAAACUCGCGUUAUAGGUAGAUCAUGUAUUAAGAUAACAAAAAAGAUAGGUAGAUUUGUGUAUGCGAUGAGUUGUAGUGAACAUUUGGCAGUAAUAGAAAUGGUUUAGGUGUGCUCAGUUUUGGCCUAAAUGGUUAUCACACGAGCGUAAAUGUUUGUUUCAUUUGUGAUUGAACUUGAAUUCGUUGGAAAGCUUUUCAAUUUAUGAAUAUGGAAAGCUUUUCGUCUUUACUUUUAAACUUAUUUUCUGUUUGGUUGUUGAGAAGGUGAUGGAAAUAUAGUUAUCUGUUAAUAUGGAAACUUGAAUCUGUGUAGACUCCUUGGGUUGUCUGUUGGGUUCAGUGGAGGUUUAGUGUUUUAAUUUUGAAUGAUUUGUUUUUCGUUUCAUGGAAAUGACCUAUUAUUUGAUAUUAUUUGAUUUAACUGAGUAAUUUAAUGGAAGUAUAUUCUCUUUUUUUCUUUUCCAUAUUUCAUUUUGUCAGCAACCAAACGAGUUAAGGAACUGUAAUCUUUUUAAUUACUCUGCUAUCUCCGUGAGUUAUGAAUAUCAGACUUUUUGUUUUAUUUCUAUAUAUGUAGUUCCGAAGGAAUCAAGUGCCAAAAUUAGAAUAAAUAUCCUUUAGUCACGUUACACACUUUUCCAUAGAAUGUUUGGUUCAGGGAUCCCUUAUACAAGCACAAUAUUCUUAUGUAUUUAAAUCAUAGUUGACUGUCAUGGUUUAAUAAGUGUGAAAACUGUCUUAACUAUACCAUUGGAGCGUUACAGUUUUAGUUAUUUUAUUGGAUCCGUUUGUUAGCACUUUGAAUUCUUUUGAUUUCUUACUCUGAAUCUCACUCAUUUUUUGCAGUUUAGAUUGGACUCUCAUCAUAGCAUUGUAAUAUGAUCUUGCUGCUGCGAUUAAUCUGACAGUUCUGAGGCGUUGCAUUUGAAUCAAGACUUUGGUAUGUUAGCUGAACUUCAAUGCAUUCUUUUCCCAUUCUUUCUGUUUGAGGCAGCGCAACUUUAUGAUUUUUUUAUUGAUUGUUUGGGUUGAUCGUCUUAUGUUAUCCAUUUGCUUUGUGCUUUGUUUUUCAUUCUUGGUUGUCUCUGUGAUCGUCUCAUUGUCCAGAUGUUGGAUGGUUUUUUAUUUUAUUUUUUUAUUCUAAUUUUGUUUGAAGGUCCGUGCUAUCUCUGUGAUUCUGGUUUAACCCAGUGCUCUUAAUUCUUUAUCGGAUGUUGUUGGCCAUUUUAUCUCUUUUAUUAGUGGGAAAAGGCUUUGUUGUUGUUGUAUUCUGUUAUUGGUUGGUUGGUGUUUUCGUUUGGUUUUCUGAUAGUGAACUAUCUCAUCCUCCCCAAAGUGUUUUAACAUGUUUUGUUGAUAACUGCGCUCUCUAAACGACCUAGAUAUUUUUUUAGAAAAAUCACGACUUCCAUAUUUAAGAAAAUGAGUGGCUUUUUAGCAAAUGCAUGAAUGCAGCUAGAUGUUCAGAAAAAUUCACGGAUAUUUACAUUCAAACCACAAGUAUCAUUAACUUAUAAAUAAUUAAGUUAUGUAUUUUCUUUAUCGGCCAUCACUUCAAAAUUUGAAUUAAAACACUGUCAAAAUGCUUUUUGAUUGUGUUUUCUUUAUUCAUUAUGUAAGUUUGGCAAAUCUUCUACAUGCUGCAUAUUUUUUUGUUUGAACAUCUAUGGUUGACGAGUUACCUGCUCAAACACCACUUUUUCUGUGUUUUGCUAACUGCUAAGUGAGGCAUGUAGGUUGCAGAGCAUAUAUUUGGCCGUCUUAACUAUGUGUAAACUGCAGCUUCCUUCUGUUUCUUCAGUUUCAUAUGGAAACAGGCCUUCUGUUUUUUUGGCCUUUGAACAAUUGUGGUUCCAAAAUUAGCUACUUGAACAAGUCCUCAACACUUUCUGUUUUACAUUACCUGUUGAACUAGCUGCCUACACUGCAGGACACAUGUUAUUUGUGAACUAAAUGUUUCUUCUGUUUCUUAAGUAAACAGAAAUUUUUUGGAAACCAUCUCUUUCUAAUCAAACACGUACAAUUUCUUCCCACUCAUUGUGCAUUGUGUUUAUAUGCCAACUCACUUAAAUAUGUAUAAAAGCAAAAUUGCUUAUCUUACCGGCCUCAUUCACUCAUGUAUCCCUCUGUUUGUUUGUAAUUGUGUUGAAUUUAUUCAACUUAAAUGUGUUUUAUCCAUCUGAUUAUGUCUGAAACAGUGGUUCCCGCAGCAACGCGCGGGCGUAUUUUCUAGUUUUUAACUAAAUUUUGCAAACUAAAUGACAUGAUUGUUGAUGAGUGGAUUAUUAUUUUAGUGUUGAUAAACAUGCUUAUUUUCUAAGGAAAACUAAUGAAAAGGGCUUGAAAACUUUGCGUUUUAACAAUAAGGACAAAAUAAAGGGUAAAGUGAAUAGUAUCAUGAUUGACUUUUUAGUGUAAAAAUAUGGUUUUUCGUUAAAGUGAACAGUACCAGGAGCUUUUCAUUAACGUUCCCUAUUAUCUAGUGGUGACACAUCAUUUAGUUUAAAAUUUUAUUCUCCUUGGCAUUACCCAUUUGUAUAUGAUUGCGGAAUCAAUAAUUAGUUCUCACCAUUUGAAUUUGUGCAGUUGUGACAACAGAUCAAGCUUCCAAAUUUCCAAGGAACUAGUCUUUGACUGUUGAUCUUCCCUUCAUUGAGUCUGUAUUUGUUGAUCACAAGCGGAGUCAGAUUUGAACUUCCAUGUAAGUUCUUAUUAUUCAACUGAAUAAUACAUUAGUUGUUUCUCAUUUUAUUUGAACUACUUUUUAUUCAUUUGUUUCUUCACUUAAUUUGUGCAGCUCUGCACCUCAAUAUUGCUCAAGAGCGGUUCAGUCUUUCUUUGAUUGCUUGGAGUAAUCCUCGCUCUUAAUAUGGUACUGGGAGAGGUUUUUCUUGGGGCGUUUCUACAGGUGCUGCUAGACAGGUUGACCCCUCGCGAGGUUCUCAACUACUUUGGAAACUUCCGGGGCCUUAGAAAGAAGCUGGAGAAGUGGAGGGCCACGUUAUCUACAAUCGCAGCGGUGUUGAGCGACGCUGAGGAAAGACAAGUGACUGACCAUCCUGUAAAACUGUUGCUUGAUGAUCUCAGAGACCUCGCUUAUGAUGUCGAAGACAUGUUGGACGAAUUUUCCACUCAAAUGUUGAAGCGCACAAUAGAGGGACGUGAUCAAGCUAGCACGAGCAACAAGGUGCGGAACUCAUUUUUCAAAAUUAAAUUCAAUUGGGAUAUGAGCUCCGAAAUGAAGAAGAUUACGGAGCGGUUGCAAGACAUAUCUGAACGGAAAGAUAAGUUUGGCUUGAAAGAUACUGGGACGUCUGCUAAGGAAUCGCGACGUCUACCUAGUUCAGACGUGUUAGAUGAAAAGCUUGUUGUUGGAAGAGAUGGUGACAAAGGGAAGAUUAUUGAAUUGUUGUCAAGAAAAUACGAGCAUGCAGGUGCUGUCAAUUUUGAUGUAGUUGCUAUAGUUGGCAUGGCCGGAGUUGGGAAGACGACACUUGCUCAACUUGUAUUCAACAACAAAGAUGAUGCCAUGAAGGAGUUUGAGCUCAAGGUCUGGGUAUCUGUGUCCGAUGACUUCGAUGUGGUGCGAGUGACAAAGGCAAUUCUUGAAUCAAUCACAUCCCGACCCGUUAAAGUGCAGGAGUUUAGUAAAAUGCAGCAUAAUUUGAGUGAGCAAUUAAGAGGAAAAAAGUUUUUAAUCGUUUUAGAUGAUAUUUGGAACAAAGGCGACUAUGAUCUAUACGAUCUCUGGACAAGACUUCAAUCCCCUUUUGGCGUCGGAGCAGGAGGAAGUAAGAUAAUUGUGACAACCCGUGACAGGAAUGUUGCAAAGACUACGGGAGCCGCUGGAGUUCAUAAUUUGGAGUGUAUGGCAGAUGGUGAUUGUUUGGAAAUAUUUGAGCGACAUGCGUUCGGGGAAAUUAAUAAUGGAAAGCCGGUAAAUUAUGAUUUAAUUGGGACAAAAAUUGUUGAAACAUGUCAUGGAUUACCAUUAGCUGCGAGGACUCUCGGUGGUCUUCUACGUUGCAAAGAAAAAGAUGAGUGGGGAGAAAUAUUGAACAACAAGUUAUGGAAUCCAGCAGAUAAGAGUGGCAUUCUCCCCGUACUAAAGUUGAGCUAUCACUAUCUUCCAUCACAUUUGAAGAGGUGUUUUGCCUAUUGCUCCAUUCUUCCAAAUGACUAUGAAUUUGGGGAGAAACAGCUCGUCCUUUUGUGGAUGGCAGAGGGUUUGAUUCAACAAAAACCUGACGACAAUAAACAAAUGGAGGAUUUGGGCCGCGACUACUUUCGAGAGCUAUUAGCAAGGUCGCUGCUUCAAGGAUCAAGCAAAAACAAUUCACGAUAUGUAAUGCAUGACCUCGUUAAUGAUUUAGCACAAUGGGCAGCAGGAGAAAUAUGUUUUAGGUUGGAAGAUAAGCAAGGUGAUAACUUGCAAAGCACUUGCUUUCAAAGGGCUCGCUAUUCGUCUUUCAUUGCUGGUGAUUUUGAUGGAGUUAUGAGAUUUGAGGCCUUUCCAAAACUUGAACGCUUGCGAACAUUCCUGCCACUUUCGCUUUCAGAUUCCAGGUGGUGGUGGAAAUAUUUGUCUCGUAAGGUUAUUUUCGAGUUAUUACCACAGAUGAAAUACUUACGAGUGCUCUCUUUCAAUGGCUAUAAAAUAACUGAGCUGCCAAAGUCAAUCGGUGAUCUGAGGUUGUUACAGUAUCUUGACCUUUCCUACACAGAUAUAACCUGUUUGCCUAAAUCAACAAGCACUCUUUACAACUUGCAAACAUUGAUAUUGGAGGGUUGUUCUAAAUUGAAGUCAUUGCCCACAAACAUGAGUAAUCUAAUUAAUUUGCGCCAUCUCAACAACUCAGGUGCAUCUUCAUUGGUAGGAAUGCCUUCACAACUAGGUCGAUUGACGAAUCUACAAUCAUUGCCUCUUUUUGUGGUGAGCAAAGGUAGUGAUCAACCAGGGGUAAGAGAGAUAGGGCCCCUAUUGCAUCUCCGAGGGACACUGUGCCUCUCAAGAUUGGAGAAUGUGACUGAUGUCGAGGAUGCCAGGAGGGCCAACUUGAUAUGCAAGGAGAGGCUUGAUUCGUUGGUCCUAAAAUGGUCUCAUUCAAGCGACACGAGAAAAACAGAAACCGUUGUGCUUGACAUGUUACAGCCUCAUACAAAGCUCAAGGAGUUCACUCUCAAGAGUUAUGCCGGAAAGGAAUUUUCAUCAUGGGUUGGAGGUUCUUUCUUCUCUAAUAUGGUGCUUGUGCGCUUAGAGGAAUGUAACAAUUGUUUAUCGUUGCCACCUCUCGGACAAUUGCCUCGUCUCAAAGAGCUUUAUAUUAGAGAAAUGAAUGCAGUCGAAAGUGUUGGUGCUGAGUUUUAUGGUGAGUGUGUCUUGCCCUUUCCGCUGUUAGAGAUUCUGGAGUUUGUGGAUAUGCGGCAUUGGAAGGUGUGGCUUCCUUUCCAACUGGAUCAAGGAAGUAGUGUUUUCCCUUGCCUGAAAAGGCUUUCAAUCAAAGGAUGUUCUAAGUUGGAAGGCAAGCUGCCAGAGAAGCUCGAUUUGUUAGCCGAACUUGAAAUUGUUAAAUGUGAGGAAUUGGUGGUUUCGAUUGCCAAUUGCAAACAACUUCGUCAAAUAAACAUUGACAGUUGUAAAGUGUUGGUACAUACAGAUGCUAAGGUUGAGUUUGAGUUGUUAGAGUCCUUGUGCCUUUCAAACAUUUCGGAGGUGAUGUCUCUGCAAACAGGGGAAUUGUUCAGGAAGGGAUUAAGCAAGGCUAGAGAUUUGAAGAUUAAUGGAUGUGAGAAGCUGACGUCGUCAUUGAAGAAUGAGGGUAGAUUAUUGCAGCAGUUGACUUGUCUUGGCCGUUUGGAAAUUGAAGACAACUCUCCUCUAGUUGAAGAAUUGGGAGAAGAAGCAGAGGAGUUGCUGCAAUUGCAAAUAUUGGAGUUAAAAAAGUGCGAAAAUCUUUUGAAGCUACCAAAAGGAUUAAAUGAGCUGUCGUCUCUUCAAGAGCUUCGCAUACACAAAUGUUCACGUCUAGUUUCUUUUCCAGAAGUUGGUCUGCCACCGUCUCUUAAAAACAUCGAGAUUAGAGAGUGCCAUUCGUUGAUAUAUUUUGCAAAAUUCCAGAUUCCCCAAUUUCUCAGAAGAAUAGAGAUAAGUAAUUGCAGAAGUUUGAAAUCACUAGUAGAACCGAACGGGUUAUUCAGCGACAACACCAAUCACUGCCUUGAAUAUAUUAGGAUCUGGAAUUGCCAAAAUCUGGAAUCCUUACCGGAUGGCUUAUGCCACCUUAGCAAUCUUCAAACUCUAAUUAUUGGGAACUGUGGAAGUCUUGUUUCCAUCCCGAGACUGAGUGCGGAGAGAAGACCCUCCAACCUGAGAGAUAUCAUGAUCAACGAAUGCGAGAAAUUGGAGGCGUUUCCCGAAGACAUGCACAAUCUCAACUCUCUUGAGGGAUUGAAGAUCGACUACCGUAAAGGUUUGACUUUUCCUCCCAACCUAACAUCACUUGAAAUUUGGAAGGUCAAGAGCUGUAAGUCAUUGUGGGAGUUGGAGUGGGGGUUGCACAGACUCACCUCUCUUAGAAAGUUGGGGAUCAGUGGAAAAAACACACGUACGGUGUCGUUUCCACCUGACAUAGUCCGGAUGGAGCCGCUCCUCCCCAAAUCUCUCACUGAACUCAGAAUAGAAGGCUUCCCGAAUCUGAAGAGACUGAGCAGCAAGGGCUUUCAAUUCCUCAACUCCCUUCAAUCUCUGCAACUCUCUAGAUGUCCAAAGCUAGCAUUCAUUCCAGAGGAGGGUCUGCCUCCUUCACUUGGUCAGCUUAUCAUCUAUAAGUGUCCUGUGCUAAAAGUGAGAUGCCAACCAGGAAAAGGACUCUACUGGCACAAAAUAUCCAACAUCCCUAAAAUAGAGAUACAUGAAGCUAAUGGUCCAGGUAUCAUCUCUCGAGGAAUGUUUUAAUAUUAAUAUUAUUAUUAUUAUUAUUAUUAUUAAUCAUGUUUAUUCUUGUAAAGUAAUCCACAAUAUUUGGUUUGGGUCAAGGUUUUGGGGGUUGAGGAGUGGCUGCUUUAGGAGGCCUUCAAUUGGCGACAACCUGGAUACUUCUCGGCCAACGUUUCUUCUCCCGGAUUCCUAUGUUUGCUGAUAGCACUACCCUUUCAAAUUUUAUUAGGUCGAGCUUUUUUCAAUUUUCAAAUUUAAACAUUUUUUUGGGUCAACAGUCCAAUAAUUCGAACUUGUUUUAUCUUUCAUUAAGAUAAUUCUACCAAAAACCUGACCUCAUUUUGUAUCAAGCUUGAGCUUUUAUGAAAUCAUUUGAGUCAAACUUGAGCACAUAUUUACGAGCUUUAUUUGGGACUGACCGAAUUUGAAUCUUGAGCAAUGUUUGUUAAACCAAGGUCAUUUAAUUACGAUCUGAGUUAUUAAUAAGUUGUGUUGUUUUGUGUUGGGUUAGUGGGUCUUGCAAGACAUUGCUUGAUGUUUAAAUUUGACAAACAAUAUUUUAUCAAGUUCUUGAUUCUACAAGUAUCCAACUCGUUAAAAGGUUCUUAAUGAGCAGCUUGAUAACGAAUCGACUUGUUAACAUAUUAACUCGAAACCUGCUAUUUUUAUGUUGUUUUAUAUCGAAUUAACGGGUCGUGUAAAAAAUUAUCAAACCUAACCGGAUCAUGCCAAACUAUUGAUGGUCAAUGACUUAUUUGAAAGUGAUUUUAAAGUGACUGAAAUUGAUUUCAGAUUCCAAAAACACUUUUUAAGUGCUUUUUGGAAUAAUCUUGGGCGUCUCCACCCAUUGCCAAUUGGUUUCGGGUUGGAUGCUCAAUUUGUAAUUAGAAUAACAGGUAUUGUUGUUUUUUUUUAUUAUCUUUCAUUGUUUGAGUGGGGGAUAUAAUCUUUAUACAAAUUGCUUCCUCAUGGUUUUUAUGACUGGUUUCUGUAUCUACUUUUAAUGCUUAGUACAUUAAGGGCAUCGGGUACUUCCUAAGUUCUCAUGGUCAAGUGUUUGUAUGGUUCUGUAUGUAUGUUUGUGAUCUUCAUCCCGACUUUGAAUGCGUAAACUAGAUGGAUGAAGAGGUUUUGUUGUUAUUGCCUUGCCCAACACAAGGAUUUCUUUAAGGGCUAAAUAGAUUUCUUUUAACUGGGUUCUUAUGUCUUCGACGAAGGUUAGAGUUCUUUAUCCUUUUUGGUAUUUCAGUCAAUUGGUGUAUCUUUCGACAUCUGUGCUAAGUGCUUCGUGAAAAUUGAUAUAUGUUGUCUAAAUGGUUGUGUUUCAGUUGCCUUUUCUGAGCUUCUUCCUUCCUGUCUGAUAUCUAUUUUCUAUCCUUCGUCAUAGGAUAUUAGCUCCAUGGUGUGCUGGUUGCUUUAUGUUUGUAUAUUCUCGUGUUUUUUCAUUACAGUGUUGAACUCAGUGAAAUGCUAGUAUGAAUUGGAGUGGUUCCCAUUGUCUUUGAGUGAUUCCUAUCACAACAAUCAGGGAGGAAAUCCCUCUCUUUUUUUCACUCUAGGACUAUCCAAAAGAUGCAGCACUGAAGAAGAGUUAGGACUUUAACUCAGUGUCGCAAAAACCUACUACCAAGAGAAAGUUUGUAAGCACUUAUGUUCCGACUCAGAUCCUUACCAAAGUUUUUUUGAAAGUUGAAAUGAUAUAGCACUAGGCCCAAGGUUGAGAGCAGGUUAGAAUUGUUAGAUUGGUGUUUGGCAUGUAAAGACUAGUGGUAUGAUAUUGGGGUACGUUUUUAGGUAUAUGGGGCCAGUACCUGUAAGCUUGAAGACAACCUAAAUAUGCCCGGGAUGUAACAGAGUGCUUGCCUAUACUUCUGUUUUUGUAGUUAAGAGAACGUAAUUGCUUAGCAAUCAUUAAAUUUGUAUACUUAUUACUUGGGUGCCCUCUGCCUUGCUAUGCUGCAUAACAAUGAGAAUAUAUUACGGAAUUCUAACAGGAAAAAGGCAGGGGACUCCCAAAAUUUGGUGAAUGGGACGUCAAUGAUCCUGCUUCGGCUGAGGGGUUUACUGUGAUCUUUAACAAGGCUAGGGAUGAGAAGAAGACAGGUGGAAAACCCGAGUCACCAGGAAAGGUUGAUCCUAAUAUCAGGCAUGGAGGAGGAGUGGAUCCUGGCACUAGCAGGCCUUCGUCUGUAAGAUUUUUUCUCAUAACUGUUGUCGUUUCUUUCUCUAAUGAUUUGAUAUAUACAUGGGUCAGCCAAUAGAAAUACAUUCUUUGCGGUUUUCUUAGUUGCAAGUUAUUGCUUUUCAAGUGACGUUGGUAGUACAAAAUACAACUAUAUGUAACACUGACUUAUCGAUCAAACUCAGCAUACCAUUUGAUGUGAAAAUCAAUGCAACUGACUUAUAUAGAACUCUAGUAAGGAAAUGUGGCAAAAGACAUAUCUAAUGUUAGGGCCAAGAUAUUUGAAAAAUAAAAGAGCACAAGAUGAUUCGGCUGUUUUAUCUGGAUUAUUCCAUGCAAGUGGAAUUGGCAUACAUUAACUCGGGUUCUGUCUCCUUUUAGACAGAUGUAGCCUAAUAGGAAUAUUUGUUUGUUUUAUUGUGAAUAAUUGAAAGAACCAAUGGCCCUGGAAAUAUUUGCUUUUGUCAAUUGAUCAUUGUGUGACCUUUUCGUUUUUUCUAUGCGUUUUCUGUACCUGCUGCGUUUCCAAUAGUAGACUAAUAGAAUGAAUAACUGGAGGUGAUUAUUUCUGCUGCCAAAAUCUAAUAUGCUUAAAUUCCUCACUCUUUGCGGAUGAUUUGAUUUGGUUUGAUUUCCUGAUGCACAGAAAAAAUGGUUUUGCUGCAUUCAUCAACCACCGGCAGAGUUUUGACAAUGUUGUUCUCCUAAGUGCUUCGAUGGAGGAGCACGAUGUUCUGUAACUGGCUCCACUAUAUUUCCUCACUUAAUCUAUGUCUAUGAAAUUGGCAGCUAGGGAAGUGAAGUUUGAAGCAAUGGUUAGCAGUUUGCCUAAGGAAAUCGUACAUGAUAUCCUUUUGAGACUACCUCCUAAAGCUUUGAUCAGAUGCACCUCGGUGUCCAAGCCUUGGAACUCCAUGAUAAAAAGUCCAAGCUUUAUUCGCACCCACCUCAGCCUUACCAUCGAUUUUAACCAGUUUGGCACCCACCAACUCCUUCUGCAUUGUGUUCGUGGAGACAAUCCAGUGGAGCAGAAUUACUAUUUGCAUUAUGAUAACCAUGCUUUUGAUGAGUACUGCAAGCUAGAGUAUCCAAGUGUUCCCAAGCGCAAUAGAUUUCUUCGUGUGGUCGGAAUGCGAGGAUCCGAAUGCUUUUUAUGAGGCUUAUUCACUUGCUAGAGGCUUGUGGAGUAGUCCUCGUUCUUUUGAUCCCGUUUGUAAAGUUUUAUUCUUGCAAAUUUCAGGCUUUUGUGAACGGGGCAGUUCAUUGGCUGGCAUGGCGCUGCUUGAACGAUGGUCGUUAUCAAAAUUUCAUUUUAGCAAUUGAUGUGGACGGUGAGUUAUUUUGCGAGAUAAGGGUGCUAAAGAGUUUCAGACAGGAUGAACCAUUAGAUUAUCACUUGUCUGUUUCAGGUGAUGGAAACUCCAUUGCUAUGUUCACGACGACGCGUGGUCGUAAUUGUCCUGAGGAUUUUCUUGACAUAUGGGUGAUGAAAGAGUAUGGCAUCGAGGAUUCAUGGGCCAAACUGAUAACUCU
rnacentral:lncRNA from 1 species